GCACCCGUAGCUCAGCUGGAUAGAGCAUCGGCUUGCGGAGCCGGGGGUCGUAGGUUCGAAUCCUGCCGGGUGCACCA
rnacentral:tRNA from 1 species